UACGAAGGGGGCUAGCGUUGCUCGGAAUCACUGGGCGUAAAGGGCGUGUAGGCGGGACAGUAAGUCGGGCGUGAAAUCCCUGGGCUCAACCCAGGAACUGCACUCGAAACUACUAUUCUUGAGUGUCGGAGAGGAAAGCGGAAUUCCUGGUGUAGAGGUGAAAUUCGUAGAUAUCAGGAGGAACACCAGUGGCGAAGGCGGCUUUCUGGACGAUAACUGACGCUGA
rnacentral:rRNA from 1 species